GAAGUCUCUCCCAUAAAGACAUAGAAUAUAAGUAUCUCCCAUAAAGGCACAGAAUAUAAGUCUCUCCCAUAAAGACACAGCAUAUAAGUAUCUCCCACAAAGACACAGCAUAUAAGUAUCUCCCACAAAGACACAGAAUAUAAGUCUCUCCCACAAAGACACAGCAUAUAAGUCUCUCCCACAAAGACACAGAAUAUAAGUCUCUCCCAUAAAGACAUAGAAUAUAAGUCUCUCCCAUAAAGACAUAGAAUAUAAGUAUCUCCCAUAAAGACAUAGAAUAUAAGUAUCUCCCACAAAGACAUAGAAUAUAAGUCUCUCCCACAAAGACACAGAAUAUAAAUCUCUCCCACAAAGACACAGCAUAUAAGUAGUCUCUCCCACAAAGACAUAGAAUAUAAGUAUCUCCCACAAAGACACAGAAUAUAAGUAUCUCCCACAAAGACACAGAAUAUAAGUCUCUCCCAUAAAGGCACAGAAUAUAAGUAUCUCCCACAAAGACAUAGAAUAUAAGUCUCUCCCAUAAAGACAUAGAAUAUAAGUCUCUCCCACAAAGACAUAGAAUAUAAGUCUCUCCCACAAAGACAUAGAAUAUAAGUAUCUCCA
rnacentral:lncRNA from 1 species